GCCCUGUCUUAGUCACUCUGUGUUAGGGGAAGCUGCAUUUAUUUCCUGAAAUGGUUUAGAAACAAGAAGGAAGAAGUUUGAUUAUGCCUAAGGUUCUCCUGUACACCCAGAAACUGCUACUUUUCUCCCACUCCACACCGAGUCAUGGGAAGUUCCUGAUUCGGCAGGAGAGCCUCUUGACCCAGGGAUCAAGCCGUGACUCCUCCAUCUCCAGGAUUGACAAGUGAAUUCUUUACCAGUGAGCCAUCUAGGAGGCCUUUUAUAAGUUCUUUCAGGAGAAGAUGACUGCAUGUCUUUCUACUCCGCCAUCUCCUAUGUCCAGACACCAAGAUUCAAGGAUGUUUUUGUCAGAUCUGGUGCCCCUGUACCAACUCCCCUGACUCAUUUGAAAAGACCAUGAUGCUGGGAAUGACUGGAGUGAUUUAUGGUUUGGUUUUGUUGAUGGUUUCCUCUGAUGUGCAGAAGAUGUUUGUGUUCCUGUGCUCCUGUGCCCUUCCACAUAUGAACGCAUAUGAAUGUAGCCAUUAAGUACAAAAGAAAAUAAAGCUUUUGA